UCUCUUAGUUCUCUUUUCCAGAUAAUAGGAGAUGGAGUGGAUCCCUGGAAGAGCAGCCCACAUAAGGAAUAUGAAGUGCAAGAAAACAGCAGUCGUGAUGUGGUGGUUAUGUGUAUCGUUUUUUAUGUAUAUACUGUAUAGCUUAGAAAAAGGGAAUGUCAUGAUGAAGAAUAAUAAUAAAAUAGUACAUCAGAGUACUCCAGUAGAGGGUAAU